GGACUACUGGGGUUUCUAAUCCUGUUCGCUCCCCACGCUUUCGCUCCUCAGCGUCAGUAUCGGCCCAGAGUGCCGCCUUCGCUACGGGUGUUCCUCCUGAUAUCUGCGCAUUUCACCGCUCCACCAGGAAUUCCACACUCCUCUACCGAACUCUAGUCAUGGCAGUCUCGAAUGACCCCUCCAGGUUGAGCCUGGAGAUUUCACAUCCGACUUACCAAACCGCCUACGAGCUCUUUACGCCCAAUAAAUCCGGACAACGCUCGCCCCCUACGUAUUACCGCGGCGGCUGGCAC
rnacentral:rRNA from 1 species